rnacentral:rRNA from 1 species
AUUGAACGCUGGCGGCAGGCCUAACACAUGCAAGUCGAGCGGUAACACAGGGAGCUUGCUCCCGGGUGACGAGCGGCGGACGGGUGAGUAAUGUCUGGGAAACUGCCUGAUGGAGGGGGAUAACUACUGGAAACGGUAGCUAAUACCGCAUAACGUCGCAAGACCAAAGAGGGGGACCUUCGGGCCUCUUGCCAUCAGAUGCGCCCAGAUGGGAUUAGCUAGUAGGUGGGGUAACGGCUCACCUAGGCGACGAUCCCUAGCUGGUCUGAGAGGAUGAACAGCCACCCUGGAACUGAGACACGGGCCAGACUCCGACGGGAGGCAGCAUUGGGGAAUAUUGCACAAUGGGCGCAAGCCUGAUGCAGCCAUGCCGCGUGUAUGAAGAAGGCCUUCGGGUUGUAAAGUACUUUCAGCGGGGAGGAAGGCGAUAAGGUUAAUAACCUUGUCGAUUGACGUUACUCGCAGAAGAAGCACCGGCUAACUCCGUGCCAGCAGCCGCAGUAAGAC